CCCGAUCAUUUGGUGAAGAGGAUAAAAGAAUAGACGCACUGUGUUCUUGCUGAAUACCCGCAACUACGGGGGAUCAGUAGCUGCCCACCAGCGAGGUGUCCCAAGGAGGAUGUUUCCAAUUCAGCAGGAUAUAUCAGAGAGUGACGCGUGGGAGAUGAGUUUUCUAGCCGUGCGUCAGAGUUCAACCGAUGCUAAUAGCACGCAACAUUUGUUGUAAACACAAGUGAAUGACCCUGGUGUACUAAAAUCAGUUAUAUGUGCAAAGUAAUAUUGUACAUGAUUGGGGAUAAUUAGCAAAUAUAAUUGUCCCAAGUUGAGUAUUGAGACCAUAAAUAUUGAUAUUACCUGUAUUAAAGUUUAUGUGCAUUGUGAGUAAACCAUCAAUGUAUACUCCCAACCAAGUCCUGGUACGGGUUCCAUGUUGUCCAUUCCAAAAUAACAUGUUUUAAUUAAUGUAGUAAUAUCUGUGCUAUUGACAAGUGUGUAAAAUAACCAUCUUUAUUUUCAAAGAAAUAAUAUAACAGCUGUUUGGUGUUGUAACAAAGAAUUGAAGAUCUAUUUUGUUACUUAUAAAGUAAGAGCUAAUGGUCCAUUCUUGUCUGAGUGUGUAUAAAUUGUCAUCUUAUUCACUUCUGAUUUCAAUAAAUAUUUAGUAAA